GAUGAACGCUGGCGUCGUGCCUAAUACAUGCAAGUCGAGCGAACGGACGAGAAGCUUGCUUCUCUGAUGUUAGCGGCGGACGGGUGAGUAACACGUGGAUAACCUACCUAUAAGACUGGGAUAACUUCGGGAAACCGGAGCUAAUACCGGAUGAUAUUUUGAACCGCAUGGUUCAAAAGUGAAAGACGGUCUUGCUGUCACUUAUAGAUGGAUCCGCGCUGCAUUUGCUAGUUGGUAAGGUAACGGCUUACCAAGGCAACGAUGCAUAGCCGACCUGAGAGGGUGAUCGGCCACACUGGAACUGAGACACGGUCCAGACUCCUACGGGAGGCAGCAGUAGGGAAUCUUCCGCAAUGGGCGAAAGCCUGACGGAGCAACGCCGCGUGAGUGAUGAAGGUCUUCGGAUCGUAAAACUCUGUUAUUAGGGAAGAACAUAUGUGUAAGUAACUGUGCACAUCUUGACGGUACCUAAUCAGAAAGCCACGGCUAACUACGUG
rnacentral:rRNA from 1 species